AACGGCAGCGCGGGCUUCGGCCUGGCGGCGAGUGGCGAACGGGUGAGUAAUGCAUCGGAACGUACCCAGUCGUGGGGGAUAACACAUCGAAAGAUGUGCUAAUACCGCAUACGUCCUGAGGGAGAAAGCGGGGGACCUUCGGGCCUCGCGCGAUUGGAGCGGCCGAUGUCAGAUUAGCUAGUAGGUGGGGUAAAGGCCCACCUAGGCGACGAUCUGUAGCGGGUCUGAGAGGAUGAUCCGCCACACUGGGACUGAGACACGGCCCAGACUCCUACGGGAGGCAGCAGUGGGGAAUUUUGGACAAUGGGGGCAACCCUGAUCCAGCCAUGCCGCGUGAGUGAAGAAGGCCUUCGGGUUGUAAAGCUCUUUCGGUCGGGAAGAAAUCGCAUUCUCUAACAUAGGAUGUGGAUGACGGUACCGGACUAAGAAGCACCGGCUAACUACGUGCCAGCAGCCGCGGUAAUACGUAGGGUGCGAGCGUUAAUCGGAAUUACUGGGGCGUAAAGCGUGCGCAGGCGGUUUGCCAAGACAGGCGUGAAAUCCCCGGGCUUAACCUGGGAACUGCGCUUGUGACUGGCAGGCUAGAGUACGGCAGAGGGGGGUGGAAUUCCACGUGUAGCAGUGAAAU
rnacentral:rRNA from 1 species